rnacentral:rRNA from 1 species
AAUGGGCGAAAGCCUGAUGCAGCGACGCCGCGUGGAGGAUGAAGGUUUUCGGAUCGUAAACUCCUGUUAAGUGGGAAGAAAGUUUUGUUGUUAAUAGCAGCAGAAGAUGACGGUACCACUAGAGAAAGCACCGGCUAACUUCGUGCCAGCAGCCGCGGUAAUACGAGGGGUGCAAACGUUAUUCGGAUUUACUGGGCGUAAAGGGUGUGUAGACGGCAAAAUAAGUCGACCGUAAAAUCUCUUGGCUUAACCAAGAGUCUGUGGUUGAAACUGUUUUGCUUGAGGAUGGAAGAGAGAAGUGGAAUUCUCGGAGUAGCGGUAAAAUGCGUAGAUCUCGAGAGGAACACCGAUGGCGAAGGCAGCUUCUUGGUCCAUUCCUGACGUUGAUGCACGAAAGCGUGGGGAGCAAACAGGAUU